CAAUAGCGUAUAUUAAAGUUGUUGCAGUUAAAAAGCUCGUAGUUGGAUUUCUGGUCGGAAGCUCCUGUCCUCUGAUGAGCGUACAAGUGCGUCCUACCAUCCUUCUGUUAACCUUUAAGGCUUUCGCGGCUUUCUAGGGGCUCAGAUAUUUUACCUUGAGAAAAUUAGAGUGUUUCAGGCAGGCUAGCGCCGGAAUACAUUAGCUUGGAAUAAUGGAAUAGGACUUUUGCCUCUUCUGUUGGUCAUGAGGCUCGAGUAAUGAUUAAUAGGGAUAGUUGGGGGCAUUAGUACUUAACUGUCAGAGGUGAAAUUCUCGGAUUUGUUAAAGACUAACUUAUGCGAAAGCAUUUGCCAAGGAUGUUUUCAUUAA
rnacentral:rRNA from 1 species